rnacentral:lncRNA from 1 species
CGACAGCCCUGUACUUUCUGUUGGUUUCAAAAGAACGUAAAGAGUGGAAAAGGACUUUCCUGAGGUCUUUUGAAAACCAUCUCAGAGCAGGGCUUUGAUACCAUCAGCCAGUCUGACCUACUGUGAAAUUCUCACACUCUGACUGGAAAUGUUCUGGACUUCAAACACUUUUUUUUUCUCUCUUGGGUCAACCUUUGUUUGCUGGGAAUCUGAGGAUGUAACCAGCUGCUUUUAGUGUGUGACCUGGCAUUUUCCAUGCUCCAACUCCUGCCUCAGCAUUCAUAAUAUUGAAAACAGCGUGCAGGUUUAGAAUUGAAAAUAAAAUGUCAAAAAUUGAGCUGCAUUAAAAAGAUGGAAGAGGGAAAAUGAUUUGCAAAGGAAAAAAAUAGAAAAAAGCAUGUGCUCUCUGGAAAUAGGAACGAUUUUCAAGGUUGGAUUAGAGAAAAGGCUCUCUUAAAGAAUUUUCCGGCAUUGUUCAGAAUAAGCAAGAGAUGACAGCUAUUAGUUCCAGCAGAACUGGACCAACGGCACUUCUGAAGUAAAACAAAAAUCUGCAGGAACUUGAAGGAAGUCAAAAGAGGAGACCAUUCGAAGAGGAAGAGCUCAAGGGACCAGUUCUGCCCCAUGCCCAUUUUGCACGUUUCUGUAUACCUUCAGUUCUGCCUUCCCCACCAGUUUUUUUCACCUCUUCCACCUUCCUGUCUUCUGGUUUCAGAGGUUCUUCCCUCCUGCCCAUCAUCUCAUGCUUGAGAGGCUGCACCAAGACGUCCUUUAAUCACAGAAUGGUUUGGGUUGGAAGAGACCUUAAAGCCCAUCCAGUCCCACCCCCUGCCCUGGGGACACCUCCCACCAGCCCAGGUUGCUCCAAGCCCCCUCCAACUUGCCCUUGAACCCCUCCAGGGAUGGGGCAGCCACAGGUUCUCUGGGCAACCUGUUCAGGUUGGACUCUUUUAUCUCCAGGCUCUGGAAAAUGAAGGUUGGUUCAGCUGCCAACUCUUCAGUGAUUCUCUGAAACUGCCAGAGAUAUUUUUCUCGAAGUGUUAAGCUAAUUGGGUAGCCACAAAUGAAAUGUGGAGUGGCUGAAAGCAGGAGAAGUUGCGGUCAACUGAAAUGAGGCAUUUGUGAGGAAUGUUGCCGAUCUUGAACGUACAGCUUCAAAAUAUUUUUGUCAUUGAAGCCAUAUAUGUGUAUAAAAUAAAUAUGUCUUGAAACAGGAGCUCUAUAACA